GGAGGAUGCAGCUCAGUGGUAGAGUGAAUGCCUAGCAUGCACAAGGUCCUGGGUUCAAUCCCCAGUACCUCUA
rfam:Camelus ferus unplaced genomic scaffold scaffold674, whole genome shotgun sequence.